GACGAACGCUGGCGGCGUGCUUAACACAUGCAAGUCGAACGGAAAGGCCCUGCUUUUGUGGGGUGCUCGAGUGGCGAACGGGUGAGUAACACGUGAGUAACCUGCCCCUGACUUUGGGAUAACUUCAGGAAACUGGGGCUAAUACCGGAUAGGAGCUCCUGCUGCCUGGUGGGGGUUGGAAAGUUUCGGCGGUUGGGGAUGGACUCGCGGCUUAUCAGCUUGUUGGUGGGGUAGUGGCUUACCAAGGCUUUGACGGGUAGCCGGCCUGAGAGGGUGACCGGCCACAUUGGGACUGAGAUACGGCCCAGACUCCUACGGGAGGCAGCGGUGGAGAAUAGUGCACAAUGGGCGGAAGCCUGAUGCAGCAACGCCGCGUGCGGGAUGACGGCCUUCGGGUUGGAAACCGCUUUCGCCUGUGACGAAGCGUGAGUGACGGUAAUGGGUAAAGAAGCACCGGCUAACUACGUG
rnacentral:rRNA from 1 species